rnacentral:rRNA from 1 species
UACAGGGGGGGCAAGCGUUGUUCGGAAUUACUGGGCGUAAAGGGUUUGUAGGUGGCCACUUAAGUCAGACGUGAAAUCCCUCAGCUUAACUGGGGAACUGCGUCUGAUACUGAAUGGCUUGAGUGCAGGAGAGGAACGCGGAAUUCCAGGUGUAGCGGUGAAAUGCGUAGAUAUCUGGAGGAACACCGGUGGCGAAGGCGGCGUUCUGGACUGUAACUGACACUGAAAAACGAAAGCCAGGGGAGCAAACGAG